GUCAAGUCAUCAUGGCCCUUACGUCCAGGGCUACACACGUGCUACAAUGGGGUAUACAAAGAGCAGCAAUACGGUGACGUGGAGCAAAUCUCAAAAAUGCCUCCCAGUUCGGAUUGUAGUCUGCAACUCGACUACAUGAAGUUGGAAUCGCUAGUAAUCGUAGAUCAGCUAUGCUACGGUGAAUACGUUCCCGGGUCUUGUACUCACCGCCCGUCACACCAUGGGAGUUGAACUCAUUCGAAGCGGGGAUGCUAAAGUAGCUACCUUCCACAGUGGAUUCAGCGACUGGGGUGAAGUCGUAACAAGGUAACCGUAGGAGAACCUGCGGUUGGAUCACCUCCUUU
rnacentral:rRNA from 1 species